UAUCCCAACAUUUACCUUAAAAUUUUUGACCUAAAAUUUGAUUUUUGGCUUCCCAAUUUCAGAAAUCAUUGCAAUUGAUUUCCGUUUAUCAUGCUACUGAACAUCUGAAACCUUAAAAUCAAAUUUCCAUUACUUUCUUUUCUCUUUGGCGAUUCUUCUUUUGAUCGUUAGGUUUAAAUCAGUAAUGGGUUUGUUUAUUUUCACACAUAGAACGACGUCAAAGAAAUCAAAGUGAACAACUGCGAGGGUCAAGGUUGAGCAUCCUGAUCAAGCCAAGUUUGAACAACUCAGUAAAGAAAUUGUUGAAUCUGCUGCUGCAUUUUCCAUCUCUUCACCAACACACAUCAGUAGCCCCAAAACCACAGGGGAAAGUGAUGGAAAAGAUUAUUCAACAAGCUGGACACAAACAAACUGAAUUUCAUCUCAGAGAACCUAUGUCGGGCCUCACAAUCGUGGUUGAUGGCAGUUUAAUAUCACAACCGAAAGGAGGUUGCAUAAUUAAUUUUGAAGUCCUAUCCUACCCAAAUUUUAAGUGAAUGAGAAAAUAGUUUGAAGAUUGCAGGAUGGUUGCAUGAUCAUGUAGUACCUGAUGGGUCGAGGGAGAGACUGAUUUGAUUGUCACAUUACAUUUCUUUGUCAAUCCUUCAGAAAUUUGAGCAAUGGAGAAUCUUGGAAUCAUCGAGCAAGGUCGACUAUGGCAGUAGAUUGAUACCACAGUCAACAAUCCUUGCUCUACUUUGACAGAUGAUUGAUACCACAACGGAUGCAGUUAACAAUCCACUCUCUGUUGAAGUCGUACAAUUAUUUAUGUAAAAUGACUACUUUGAAUUGAGAAGUUACUGAAAGAAAAUUUUAGUUCUUACUUCUUGAAUUUUGAUGUUUAUCAGUCCGGAACAGAAUGCAAUGAAAU